UGUAGACGAAUAGCUACAUGUGUGGAGUA
rnacentral:piRNA from 1 species